UGCAACGCAAUCUUCUAAGGAUUUUAUGUGAACGAGAUUACCAGCAGUUAUCAGCAUGUAUAACUGAGUACACUGUAAAAAAAAUCAGUAAAAUAUACAGCAAAAGACUGUCAAAUAGCAACAGUAAAGCACCGUAAAACCAAAAAUUUUCUUUUACUGUAUUAAAUAAGUUAAAUAACAGUUUAUUGAGAGACUGGAAAAAACUUUGAUUUUUACAGUUUUUUGUAUUUUUAAUAACGUUUUACCGUGAAAAUGAGCAAAUAUCCAUAAAGUUUAAAAGAAAAUACUGUAAUGUAAAAAAAAUCUGAAGACCUUAAAUUUUACAGUAUUAUUUGGGUAAACAUCAGUUUAUAGAGUUUUGCACAUUCAAAUUUACAGAAUAAACCUGUUGAUUGUGAAGCAAAAAGAAACCUUCAUUUUUACAGUAACAAAAUGUAAAACAAAACAAAAAAACAAAAUUCAGUCCACUGUGAAAUUGCAUGCAGUAAAGAAAAGGAGGGAUAUCAGCAGUAAAAGACACAAAAUUAGAGUGGUAUCUUAUCACAAGAAAAACAUCCAAUUUCCACAAAUGGCAAAAUAGUGACAUGGAUAAAGAUAACAUCACUUUUCUUUUUACUGCUACUCAAUUUAGUGUUUCUAUAAAAUAUUUUUUCUCAAACUUUCUACAGUACUGAUAAUUCACUUUUGCAUAGUGCUGUACCAGUAUUUUAAUGCUACUGUACAGACUUUUUUGUUGAUUUAUUCUAAUUUUAUGUAGCUAGAUAUCAGCUAUAUAAAUAUUUAGAUAUAUCUGACCAUUUACUGUUGUACUUUAUGUGUUUAUUGCACCUUUUGGGGCUAAUAAAGUGAAAAGGAGUACAAUGUUCAAAAUGUCUCGUCUUUCUAAUUCUGUCUGAAAACCCCUCUUUAACAUCCAUUUUCUCAAAAACUGCAAGUGCGGUAGUCUAAUGGAUGGGGGCUGCACUGCACAAGCGUGUACCGUGUAGCCUGUCGAAAUAGAUUUGAAGAAGAAGAAGAAGAAGAAAAAACAACAUUUUGCAUAUUUCACUGUGGAAGUUGCUUAGCACUCGAAAUUUGAAUGCAUAAAGUGAUUUUCUUUUAGCACCCUGUACUCUCUUUAAAAAAAACUUUUAUCCACCUGAUGGAGUUAUGGAUCACUUUGACCCAGCUUCACCUGACCGCCAAAUUUGAACUCACUGCCAGCGCCAUUUCAGAGCGUCUUCGGAGAUUUUCAACACUGUGGCUGUUUAAAACUGAUUUGCAACGUGAGUACAACGUUUUCCAGUCUUGAAUGUGCUAAGUUGGCAAAAUAGCUGUUGCAUGAAAACAUGCUGAGCUGUAAUUUCUGUGGCAAGGCAGUGCAAUCAUUACGGGGCUAUGUGCUUGAUUGUAAACUUCAUAGGAAUGAGCCACGUUGUUUGUUUAAGUGCGUUGAGGCUGACUGGAUGGCAACACAACUAAGACCUGAGAAUCUCCUUAGCACUGAAUUUGAACUGCAGUCUUAAGGAAAUAAUUCAAAGGCCCAGUGACUCUCAGAAAAUGGAGAGUGGCAGGCAAACCAGUGUCAAGAAGAUGACAGCCAAAAAAAUGUGCUGAAGAUGGAAUCAACCCUUGGCUGGAUAAUUUUGAGAGGAUCCUACCAGUUCAAAGUGAACACCUGAUGGACAACUUUCAAGUCCUCCAGCAGAGCUUGUAUGCACAUCAUCAUGUGCAUUUGAAACUCCACUCCAUGUGAGUGCUUUCCUAAACCAAGGCCGGACUCAGCGACUCAUUACUCUUGAUCAGUCAGGGGCAAGUGACUUAUUUGUUUCAGUUUAUUCAUUCCACCUUGGACAACCAGUCAUUUAUAUGGACAUUCUGUAUUCUCAAGAUCUGCGCUACUUUGUGGGUAUACAGACAAUUAAUAUGAUCUGUUCAGUCUGUAAUACUGAUGUUAUGAAACAUUUCUUGCUAAUUCUUAGUGAUAAUCUGUAAUGUAAAAUCUACGGUAUACCACUUGUGUUUCUCAUGUAUUGCACUGCAUUUUUAAUGGUAAAAUACCGGCAGCUGUGGUUGCCAGGAAUUUACCGUGAAAUUUAACUGGUCAAAAUAAAAUGUUGUAAUUUAUUUUACAAUUUUACCGUAUUUUUCAUUGACAUAGACUUUAAU